AUUGAACGCUGGCGGCAGGCCUAACACAUGCAAGUUCGAGCGGUAACAGGGGAAGCUUGCUUCUCGCUGACGAGCGGCGGACGGGUGAGUAAUGUAUGGGGAUCUGCCCGAUAGAGGGGGAUAACCACUGGAAACGGUGGCUAAUACCGCAUAAUCUCUUAGGAGCAAAGCAGGGGAACUUCGGUCCUUGCGCUAUCGGAUGAACCCAUAUGGGAUUAGCUAGUAGGUGGGGUAAUGGCUCACCUAGGCGACGAUCCCUAGCUGGUCUGAGAGGAUGAUCAGCCACACUGGGACUGAGACACGGCCCAGACUCCUACGGGAGGCAGCAGUGGGGAAUAUUGC
rnacentral:rRNA from 1 species